AAAUAAAAAUAAGAAAUAAAUUAUUUAUAAAUAAUUCUAUGUCGAUCGUUACACGACUUCGGUUCAUGUUAUUGUUUUAAUUUAUCGAAAAAAAGUAAAUAAAUAGUAAAAAGGUAUGAAAAAAAUAAUAUCAAUAUAAUAAAACAUUUAGUACAAAGAAAAUGCUCUAACGGAGUAUAGAUAAUUCUAUGUCGAUCGUUACACGACUUCGGUUCAUGUUAUUGUUUUAAUUCAUCGAAAAAAGUAAAUAAAUAGUAAAAAGGUAUGAAAAAAAUAAUAUCAAUAUAAUUAAACUUUUAGUACAAAGAAAAUGCCCGAACGGAGUAUAAAUAAAUAAUCCAAGUUGUCUUUAUCCUCGAUAGAUGGUGUUGGGAUCGAAAUAGAUCGCGCUAUGGUUUCGUUACAUUCAUUUGGUUGGGUAUCGGCCGAGCGCUUCGGUACUAUCGUAGAAAAAGUUUAUUAUCAGUCGUAUGAUUAUUUGUCUGUAGUGGUCCUGCUGUUUCGUAUAUUCUAAAUUGGUUUCGUUGUAUUUGUCAAUUAAUAAGUUUAUUUGUUGGGUUUUCCUGGUUUUUUGGUUAAACUAUUUAACGUAGGUUUAGUUUGAUAUCGAUUAUUAGUAGUUACUGUAGUUAGUUUUUU